CUCCCCUUGGUGCUCAAGGCUCCACAUUGGUCCAGAUAGCAGUUGUAAGAUCUUGCAGGUGUGACAGGACCUGCCCUUAUCCCCCCUGAGUGUGUCCAUACCUUUUCAAAGGGAGGAGAAAGGAGGAAAAGAGGGCAGUAGCAGGGAGGCAAGUAGAGGAGGAGGGAGAGGAGGAAGAUCACUAUCUGCAAAUCAGGGAGUUCUUCAAGGUGAUGAUGCGCAGGCUGCAGAGAGGGGAGAUGAUGUGGGAAGCCUUUGCUAUGGAGGUGGCACCUGAUUCUCAUAGGACUGCUAUCCCAGUGGUUCAGUAACGAGGACCAUCCCGACUUCAUCUUCCUGCAGCUGCUAGAAGUGAAACUCAAGAGGCUGCCGCAGGCACUGCAGCACCUUCUCAGAACUGCUUGACCUUAAUGGAUUAGCGUUUCCCUGAGCAGGUGGCAAUUUAAAAAGAGGAGACAAACUUUUACACUUAGGAGACCCCUGGUGAAUGGCAUCAAAUUUCAGAAUGUUGAAACAGAGCAAAGAAACUUACGAUGCCUUCCCACCUAACCCUGUGCCACCUUAACCCCCUUGCUAUGCACAUAAGUUACAGCUUUCCAGUUAGGAUCCUAAGUCCACUUAUUAAGGAA